CAACAGGGAUUGCCCCAGUAACGGCGAGUGAAGCGGCAAGAGCUCAAAUUUGAAAGCUGGCUCCUUCGGGGUCCGCAUUGUAAUUUGCAGAGGAUGUUUCGGGAGCGGCUCCCAUCUAAGUGUCCUGGAACGGACCGUCAUAGAGGGUGAGAAUCCCGUAUGGGAUGGGGUGUCCGCGCCCGUGUGAAACUCCUUCGACGAGUCGAGUUGUUUGGGAAUGCAGCUCUAAAUGGGUGGUAAAUUUCAUCUAAAGCUAAAUAUUGGCCGGAGACCGAUAGCGCACAAGUAGAGUGAUCGAAAGAUGAAAAGCACUUUGAAAAGAGAGUUAAAAAGCACGUGAAAUUGUUGAAAGGGAAGCGUUUGCGAUCAGACUCGCCUUCGGGGUUCAGCCUGCCUUCGGGCAGGUGUACUUCCCCGUCGGCGGGCCAGCGUCGGUUUGGGUGGCCGGUCAAAGGCCCUGGGAAUGUAACGCCUCUCGGGGCGUCUUAUAGCCCAGGGUGUCAUGCGGCCUACCCGGACCGAGGAACGCGCUUCGGCUCGGACGCUGGCAUAAUGGUCGUAAACGACCCGUCUUGAAACACGGACCAAGGAGUCUAACAUCUAUGCGAGUGUUCGGGUGUCAAACCCGUGCGCGAAGUGAAAGCGAACGGAGGUGGGAACCCUUUGGGUGCACCAUCGACCGAUCCUGAUGUCUUCGGAUGGAUUUGAGUAAGAGCAUAGCUGUUGGGACCCGAAAGAUGGUGAACUAUGCCUGAAUAGGGCGAAGCCAGAGGAAACUCUGGUGGAGGCUCGCAGCGGUUCUGACGUGCAAAUCGAUCGUCAAAUUUGGGUAUAGGGGCGAAAGACUAAUC
rnacentral:rRNA from 1 species